rnacentral:rRNA from 1 species
AUUGAACGCUGGCGGCAGGCUUAACACAUGCAAGUCGAACGGUAACAGGGAGAAACUUGUUUCUCUGCUGACGAGUGGCGGACGGGUGAGUAAUGCUUGGGAAUCUGCCUUAUGGAGGGGGAUAACCACUGGAAACGGUGGCUAAUACCGCGUAAUAUCUUCGGAUUAAAGUGUGGGACUUUCGAGCCACACGCCAUAAGAUGAGCCCAAGUGAGAUUAGGUUGUUGGUGAGGUAAUGGCUCACCAAGCUUACGAUCUCUAGCUGGUUUGAGAGGAUGACCAGCCACACUGGGACUGAGACACGGCCCAGACUCCUACGGGAGGCAGCAGUGGGGAAUAUUGCACAAUGGGCGCAAGCCUGAUGCAGCCAUGCCGCGUGAAUGAAGAAGGCCUUAGGGUUGUAAAGUUCUUUCAUUAGUGAGAAAGCGGUUAUAUCUAAUAGGUGUAACCAUUGAUGUUAGCUAAAGAAGAAGCACCGGCUAACUCCGUGCCAGCAGCCGCGGUAAUACGGAGGGUGCGAGCGUUAAUCGGAAUGACUGGGCGUAAAGGGCACGCAGGCGGUUAUUUAAGUCAGAUGUGAAAGCCCCGAGCUUAACUUGGGAAUUGCAUUUGAUACUGGGUAACUAGAGUCCUCUAGGGAGGGGUAGAAUUCCAUGUGUAGCGGUGAAAUGCGUAGAGAUGUGGAGGAAUACCGAAGCGAACGCAGCCCCUUGGAGAGAGACUGACGCUCAUGUGCGAAAGCGUGGGUAGCAAACAGG